UGGUCAGACCUGAAUCCUGAGACUUCUUUGAGUCUGUAAAUGUUUGACCGCUCGAGGUCAUUCCUUCCAAAGUCCAGAGCGGCUCAGAUAUCAUGACUCCUCGAAGGAAACACGACGGGACAAAAUGAACGCCACAUUUCUAAACCUGAAUGUUUUUCUCUGAUUGAUUCUCGUCUCGGCUUCGUACGACAACAAGGUAACAUAACCUUUACUUACUGAUAUGAACGCCAUGGUUAACCCUGAGACCGUUUCAAUGUGAAGCAGUCAGCUGAUCAACCAGCGGUCUGAUGGAGGUGGAGGCUCUGCUAUGAAUCAGUCUGAGGACAGAGAGGAGGAGGGAGCCCCUCCCUCUAAAUCCACUCUGUGUGGGGAUCAGAACAGACCUAGACCUGGACCUGCUCCCAUCUGUGUGUCUCUGAAAAGUGAUACGUCUAUCCAGUGAUUUAUCGAGUUCAAAGAUGGACGCCACUUUUCUGAUGAGGGACCAGGGUAUCAGGAAGGACCAGACUCUGCUGGACCUGAACCUGAACCUGGACCAAGCCGGUCAUCUGUGAAGACGCUACAGUUGUUGUUUGAAUCCCUGGAGUCGGCCGAUAAGACCCCAGAGCAGAAGCACAGACCAGACUCUCCUGGACCUGGACCUGGAGCCAGACCUGCUCCAAGCUGCAUGUCCUUAAAGAGUGACCGGUCUAUUGCUCAACCUUUGAACUUCAAAGACGAGAAGCUUUCUCCUGAACAAAGAGUCCAUGGGCAGAACUUUAAGGUUUCCAGUGAUCAGACUAACCUGGACUCUAUCUUUGUGGUGUGCAAAUGCACAAACACAGCUACCAUCCCUUGUUGAACCAGCCAAAAUUCAAUUUCUGAACUAUGUUUGUGAUUCAGUCUCUGUGGGCUUUUGGUCUGUCACAGAUGAUCUGAUGCUGUUACUCUUAACUCUGUUCAGCUGCUUGAGGAGAAUAUUUUGAGUUUUGUAAAGAAAGAGCUUAAGGAGAGCCCAAGCGUUCUGAGUCGUGAGUACCCUGAAUGCUUAAAGGAGGAGGAAGAUGUGCUGGAAGGUAAAGAGGAGCCGCACAGGAGGAGCAGCAGAGAGGCUUUUCUGAAGAUCACUCUGCACUUCCUGAGGAGAAUAAAGCAGGAGGAGCUGGCUGACUGUCUGCAGAGCAGAACUGUUGCUGCAAAGUGCCGCCAUAAACUGAAGUCUAAUCUAAAGGAGAAGUUCCAGUGUGUGUUUGAGGGGAUUGCUAAAGCAGGAAACCCAACCCUUCUGAAGCAGCUACACAGAG